CGAUUGGUGCCGCGUUGGGGACGGAUCCGGCUGCUCCGUGCAAGAUUGAGCAGUCGCCGUCUGCGCGGGCCCAAGCUAGGCGAGGGGAAAUAUAGGAGGCAGCGACUGCGGUGGAGAAGGAAAGGCUUCGGCUGCUGUGCUUUCAACAGGUGGUGGGGAGAAGGACGCUUCGGCGGCUGCGUUUUCCGAUGGUGAAAGAUGGAUGAUAUUUGGAGCUCGUCCUCGUCAUCCGAGUCGGAUGAUUCUGACAUAGAAGAGAUGAUUUUUUACGACGAUGUCGAGCAUCCUUUUUUGUUGCACCUUGUUGACAAAUUUGAAGCCGGCAAGAAGAAGAGGCAUCGCGGUUCGACAGUCAGCCGGCUUUGCAUUCCACGCAACCAAGCUCUCGGUCACAAGUUGCUCAUGAGAGACUACUUUGCUAAGGUACCAACCUACCCGGAUCAUCUCUUCCUUUGGCGUUAUCGAAUGUGUAUGUCUCUUUUUGUUCGCAUUGUGGAAGCUUGCAAACAAAAUUGUCGGUUCUUCACUCACCAAAGAAGCCGGUCUGCUAGGAUUUAGUGCAUACCAAAAAAUAUCGGUGGCAAUAUGAGUGAUAGCAUAUGGCAUUCUGGUUGAUUACACCGAUGAGUAUCUUUGCAUCGAAGAAGAUACCACGCUCAAAUGCAUGUGUAAUUCUACACAAUAUGAUCAUCGAUGAUGAGAGGGAUUUAAACUUAGAGCUUUUCUUUCUAUGACAAUAUUGAUAGCCGUGUCAAGCCUACUAGAAACUCAGAUGAGAUCAAUGCAUUUCUUAAAACCUACCGAUAGACAGAAGACCGUGACAAACAUCAGCAGCUCCGCAAUUAUCUCAUUGAGCAUCAAUGGCAAUUGUAUGGUCAAUAGACUCCAAUUUUAUUAAUUUGAUCUAUUCUUUUCAUGUGUGAGGUGAACAAUUGUUUUAAUUCUGAACAAUUUAUUAUUGUAAUAAUUCCAAACAAUUUGUUAUUCGGAUUUCAAUAUUUGUUGUA